GCAUAUAUAACGGGAGGGCCUCCUUUGAUCGUAUUAUUUUGAUGGUCCAUUUUAGGUCAAAAUGGACGGUUUUUUCAUUCAUAUGAAUUUAUAUGCACGUAAUUUUUCUAAUUCUUUAUAUCAGAUUAAUGUAAUAAUGAAGAAAGAAGAGCUACUGAUUUUGAACUCCUUUAAAUAAUGGAAAUAUUUUUCUAAUUCUUUAUAUCAGAUUAGUAUAAUGAAGAAAGAAGAGCUACUGAUUUUGAACUCCUUUAAAUAAUGGAAAUAGAAGCAACUGAUGAUUAAAAUUUAUUAUUUAUUAGAUAAUGAAGAAAGAAGAGCUACUGAUUUUGAACUCCUUUAAAUAAUGGAAAUGGAAGCAACUGAUAAAUAUAAUUAAAAUUUAUUAUUUAUUAGAUAAUGAAGAAAGAAGAGCUACUGAUUUUGAACUCCUUUAAAUAAUGGAAAUAUUUUUCUAAUUCUUUAUAUCAGAUUAGUAUAAUGAAGAAAGAAGAGCUACUGAUUUUGAACUCCUUUAAAUAAUGGAAAUAGAAGCAACUGAUGAUUAAAAUUUAUUAUUUAUUAGAUAAUGAAGAAAGAAGAGCUACUGAUUUUGAACUCCUUUAAAUAAUGGAAAUAGAAGCAACUGAUAAAUAUGAUUACAAUUUAUUAUUCAUUAGAUAAUUAUAACUUAUAAAUAAAAUUAAUUGAUAAUUUGGUCAGAAUAUUAUAUUUUAUUAUACAUCUAUAUUAUAAUUAUACAUAAGUUUUAUAUAACAAGAUGCUUUAUCAGCAAAUAAAUAUUUAUUUAUAAUUUUUAAAUUAUAUUGAGUAAUUAGAUUUUGAAUAUUCUUUUCUUUUGUUAUAUAUUUAUUAUUAGUUUUUUUGUUGUCAUCCCCAGGUCAAGUUGGACCUUUUUUAAUUUAUUAUUUAUGUGGUCUUUUUGAAUUAAAUUUAUAAAUGUAUAAAUGUUUGGAUGCGAAGAUCUUGUUGAUUUAUUUAAUGCUGAGUGCCAGCCCUCUAGAUGA